UGCUGUACCGCGUAGUAAAGGGUUCUGAAAUGCAGCUCGCGGAAUUCAAGUUAACAGGUCGACUUUGGCCUAACGCAGUGUGAGAAGUCAAGUGAAGCACCCCUCCAUGAUCGUACAUUCACUCAAAAUGCCCUCUCGAACCGAGCUUCAGAUGUCCCCACUUCUGUCACGUAUGAUGGUGUAAACCAUGUGCCCAUCAAAGUGUCACACAGCAGCGCUCCGAGCUGCAAGCUACCGCAGUGCACAUGAAGAACAAGGCUUCAGUGCAAAAAGUGCAAGGGGUUUCCUAAUCAC
rnacentral:lncRNA from 1 species